rnacentral:rRNA from 1 species
AGAGUUUGAUCCUGGCUCAGGAUGAACGCUGGCGGUAUGCGUAACACAUGCAAGUCGAACGAAGUUUUUCGGAACUUAGUGGCGGACGGGUGAAUAACGCGUGAGAAUCUGCCUUAAGGAUUGGGACAACAGUGGGAAACCGCUGCUAAUACCAAAUAUGCCUUUUAGUGAAACGGGUAAAACCGCCUUAAGAUGAGCUCGCGUCUGAUUAGCUAGUUGGUGUGGUAAGAGCGCACCAAGGCAACGAUCAGUAGCUGGUCUGAGAGGACGACCAGCCACACUGGGACUGAGACACGGCCCAGACUCCUACGGGAGGCAGCAGUGAGGAAUUUUCCGCAAUGGGCGAAAGCCUGACGGAGCAAUACCGCGUGAGGGAGGAAGGUUCUUGGAUUGUAAACCUCUUUUCUCAGAGAAGAAUAAUGACGGUAUCUGAGGAAUAAGCAUCGGCUAACUCCGUGCCAGCAGCCGCGGUAAUACGGAGGAUGCAAGCGUUAUCCGGAAUGAUUGGGCGUAAAGGGUCUGUAGGUGGUUGUUCAAGUCUGCUGUUAAAGCGUCUGGCUUAACCAGAUAAAGGCGGUGGAAACUGAACGACUAGAGUGCGGUAGGGGUAGAGGGAAUUCCCAGUGUAGCGGUGAAAUGCGUAGAUAUUGGGAAGAACACCUGUGGCGAAAGCGCUCUACUGGACCGCGACUGACACUGAUGGACGAAAGCUAGGGGAGCGAAUGGGAUUAGAUACCCUAGUAGUCC